rnacentral:miRNA from 1 species
UCUCUCUCUCUCUCUCUCUCUCUCUCUCUCUCUCUCUCUCUGUGUGUGUGUGUGUGUGUGUGUGUGUGUGUGAGAGAGAGAGAGAGAGAGAGAGAGAGAGAGAGAGGAGAGAGAGA